AGCCUUGAACGUACUCGUCGAUGG
rnacentral:siRNA from 1 species